rnacentral:rRNA from 1 species
GUGAGGAAUCUUGGACAAUGCCCGAAAGGGUGAUCCAGCGACGCUGCGUGGGUGACGAAGGCCUUCGGGUCUUAAAACCCUGUCGAGUGGGAAGAAUCCUGCGCAAGCGGGAUGACGGUACCACUGGAGGAAGCCCCGGCUAAUCCCGUGCCAGCAGCCGCGGUAAGACGGGAGGGGCGAGCGUUACCCGGAAUCACUGGGUGUAAAGGGUCCGUAGGCAGCCCUGUAUGUCUGACUUGAAAUCCUCUGGCUCAACCAGAGAAUGGGGUCAGAAACUGCAGGACUAGAGUCGGGAGGAGGAAAACGGAACUGCCGGUGUAGCGGUGAAAUGCGUAGAUAUCGGCAGGAACACCAGUGGCGAAGGCGGUUUUCUACUCUAUGACUGACGCUGAGGGACGAAAGCGUGGGGAGCGAUCGGGAUUAGAAACCCGAGUAGUCC